GAUAAAAUUAUGAUGUAAAAAUUAUACAGCGAAUAAAUUUGUGAUGGGCUAUCAUAAUUUUCGUUUAAAAUAAUAUAAUUUACACUUUCAGCAAGUCAAGUCGUCUAAAAACUAUAUUGGUUGCACAGUGCAGAUGCAUAAAUUGCAGGCAGAAAAGCAGAAAACGCUGUUUGGUUCUUAUCAUUCUACUUCUGCUUAUCAGUGUUUUGUUUAUCUCACCAGUCAACAACACCGAUGGAUGGUGUAUACAGAAAGCUUAUCAGUCUAAACAAAAACUUCAAUGAUCAUGGCGGGAUCGAUUUUCCAUUGUUAUCAUGCACAUUCACAUACCUGGUUUUCCUUUUAAUUUUCUGUAACUCAAUUCAAAGUGAAUUACUAUGUGCCGUGCAGACAUCAUCUACUUUUUUAGUUGAUCUUUCAAAAUUUUUCCAAUCUCUAAUUUUUCGUCUUUUGGUAAUUAAGUAACAGAAUAGUUCUGGACCCUCCCAAUGUCUCAACCCUCAGACCCAGUCAGAAGAUCUCUAACUACAGCUUUAUCGAAGCAAUUAUGUUUCUUACUCACCAACAAGAAAGAUGAUGAAAUUUUCAAAAAAUUCAUCCUCACUCUAGCGUUACAUUUGAAGACAGAGGAAAUCUCCACAUCAUGCUGCACUGCAAUUUUUGAAAAAAGUAAAAAACAACUGUCUCUCAUUCAUAGUGAUGCGGAUAAUGCAAUAAAUGAAUUUGAAACGCUCUUCAGGAAACUGUCGAAGAUUGAUGGCCCUGAUAAACAAGCUGUGCUUGCAUUUCUCCUAAAAUUGAGUGAAUUGAUUGAAGCUGAGCAAGAAGCUAGCCACUCGGACAGUAGUCUGGAUUUUCGAAACAAGGUGCACACGACCCAAAAACGACUGAUGAAGGACCUCCCACACAAUUGGCUGAGUCGGAACUCACCAGCCAUCAACUACCCUUCAACUGCUCCUUUAAGUUUUUCAAGCAGUAAUGUUCAGCCAAUUGCCUCAUCCACUGUCAUUGCUGGCAAGCAGAGCCCACAAGAACCCUGGAAGGUUUCUAACAUAAAAACACAACAUCUUCUAGAAGCAUCCUAUUGCCUGACAGGACAAAGAAAAAAACACCCAUCUCGUUGGACCUAA
rnacentral:lncRNA from 1 species